CGGCGAGUGAAGCGGCAACAGCUCAAAUUUGAAAUCUGGCCCUCUGGGUCCGAAUUGUAAUUUGUAGAGGAUGCUUUUGGCGCCGGUGCCUUCCGAGUUCCCUGGAACGGGACGCCUUAGAGGGUGAGAGCCCCGCUACGGUCGGACACCUAGCCUCUGUAAAGCUCCUUCGACGAGUCGAGUAGUUUGGGAAUGCUGCUCUAAAUGGGAGGUAAAUUUCUUCUAAAGCUAAAUACCGGCCAGAGACCGAUAGCGCACAAGUAGAGUGAUCGAAAGAUGAAAAGCACUUUGAAAAGAGGGUUAAAAAGCACGUGAAAUUGUUGAAAGGGAAGCGUUUGCGACCAGACUUUUUCCCGGCGGAUCAUCCGGCGUUCUCGCCGGUGCACUUCGCCGGKUCAAGGCCAGCAUCGGUUUUCGGAGGGGGACAAAAGCUUAGGGAACGUAGCUCCCUCGGGAGUGUUAUAGCCCUUUGCAUAAUACCCCUCUGGGGACCGAGGAACGCGCAUCUGCAAGGAUGCUGGCGUAAUGGUCGUCAACGACCCGUCUUGAAACACGGACCAAGGAGUCGAACAUUUAUG
rnacentral:rRNA from 1 species